rnacentral:lncRNA from 1 species
CCGCGCUCCCGCCGCCUGCGCGCCCGCCGGCCGGCCGACGCGGACGGUGGCUGUCGCCGCUCGGCCCGGGGUGGAAGUGCGCGGCGGAGACCCGUUAGGAGAAGAGGCCGGGCAGCCGCUGGACGGGAGGCGUGAGUAAGCGGCGAUCCGGCAAAAAAAAAAAAAAAGGCCUGUGGAAGUGGCAAAGUUGAACUUUUUUUUUUUUUUUUCUCUUUUCGCCCCCUGGCCGACGCGUUUCGAAGUUUGCCAUCCGGAAGUUACGGGGUUCUUUUUUCUCAGGCCCCUGUCCCGGGAGGGAAAGGAAAAACAGCGAUGUUGGGGAGCAGGCGGGUGUGUGGCCAGUGGCUCGCAGCCGCGCUUUGAGCCUGGGAGCGCCGUGGGGGUCACGUGGGCCGGGCGCGCUUUCCCUCCGGUCCGGCGUCCGCGUCGUGCGUGGAAAAUCCCCACGCGUGGCAGUCGCAGCCAGGUGUGCGCCCCCGGGGGCGGCCGCAUCAAGCUAGUGGGUGUAGAGCUGCGGCGGGCCCGGAGAGUGUGAAAGGGAAAAAGCCGCACUGCUCGUGUCCACCGGCCGCCUGCGCUGGAGAUCCACCUGUUGGCCCUGUGUGUGUGGCAAGAGAAAGUGCCUGAAACCCCAUUUUCAAAAUGCGGAGGAAAGUGUCUCUGGGGCUCGUAUCCAGAAACUCCCACAGUUGCAGGAUACUGGGGAUCUGUCCUUCGCCGCACACAUUGGCCCUGACCGUGUCUGGUGCUGGUAGGAAAACAGGCGCACUGGGUGAAUUUUCACUGCCUCGUCUGGCACUCUGGGAGAAGAAGGAAACAGGUGCUUCCCUGCUGCAAGCCCAGCAGUCACUCAGACCCCAGUCAGCUCUCCAGGCUGAAGUGAAAUCAGUAGGUGACUGUGGAGUUCCUUCUCAGCUAAAACCAGGAGUGGUGGGGUGGGCGGCAGUUUCUUCCUACCUUGGCGUGGUAAGAUAG